CCAAUAAGCGCCAGGGAACUACGAGCAAUGCUUAAAACCCAAAGGAUUUGACGGUGUCCCACCCCCCUAGAGGAGCCUGUUCUAUAAUCGAUGAUCCCCGAUAUACCCCACCACUCCUUGCUCAUCAGUCUGUAUACCUCCGUCGAAAGCUUACCGUAUGAACGUCUACAGUAGGUUCAAGGACUCGCACAGCGAGUCAAUACGUCAGGUCAAGGUGCAACUUAAGGAGUGGAAAGUAAUUGGCUACAAUUUCUAAUUUAGAACAAACGAAAGACUAUGUGAAACCAUAGUAACGAAGGCGGAUUUAGUAGUAAAAAGAAAAUAGAGAGUUCUUUUUAACCCGGCUCUGGGACGCGUACACACCGCCCGUCACC
rnacentral:rRNA from 1 species